ensembl:lncRNA
GUAGACUAGACAUUGCUCUCGCUCACAGUGAAAGAAUUUUGUCAAUACGACUUUUACUUUUCAUUUGGGAACGAUUUGUUUCGGCCUGACUUUUCUGUUCAUUUUAAGCAGCAAAAGUGAGGUGCAUGUCUGUGUGCGUGUGUAUGGAGCCCUUGGGUGCGGUCACUAUAGCAACCAGGCUCACACCUGCCUGCUUAACGAGCUCUCUCUCUCACUCUGCCAAGAUUCAUCUUAAACACUUCUCUUUCAACUGCUGCUGUGUCCACAGUGUUAAAGCCAUCAUUUUACCCUCAAAACGUCGCCAUCGUUGUUCUUUUUCCAACAUCUUGUCUUUCAAAGCUCAGAGAUGUAAACUUUUUAAACUGUGUGGGUCCAAGUGGAGGGAUCACAUUUGAGUCAUUCAGUGAUUCAAAGAAUAUGACCUUUUAAUAUUCUUUCAGAUGUUUUCUGACUCUAAAUGUUCUUUUCUCAUUUCUUAGGGUUUUCUAAUUUACAUUUAAAACAUUUUCAGUUUUUUUCCAACUCCUUCUUCUGUGUAACCUUCAGCUUUUAGCAGUUCAGCACCUUUGUUUUCAGGUUAAAUUCGUUUUUUUUUUGUUUUUUUUUAAUCUCAUUCAAUAUUUUUAACUCAAAAUUCAGCAAUUAAUUCAUUUCAGUGCAUACAUUCAGAUUCAAGCAUUCACACUGCAGUUUCUUCAGAAAAUGCACUUUCUAGUUCUAUUUUAUUAUUAUGGAUUCCGUACGUUUUUUGUACUCUAUCUCCUUCAAAACCGUUCAACUUAGAAAAACCAUUCAAACACCAUUAGAUUCCUAUUCUUUUGGACAUGACUGCUUCUAUUUUUCUCAUUUUUAACAUUUAUAUUUUUAAUUUUAUUCAACUUUUUUCAACAAAAAUUUCCCAUGUAUUUCAAUGGGGAGACCCUUCAAAUUCUCAUUCAACUUCCUCCUCUUUAAACUGUAUCUACUUCCACAUACAUUGACAUAGAGCCACC